GGAAUAUUGGACAAUGGGCGCAAGCCUGGUCCAGCCAUGCCGCGUGAGUGAAGAAGGCCUUCGGGUUGUAAAGCUCUUUCGGCGGGGACGAAACGGGCCGUGCCAACACCACGGACUAAUGGCGGUACCCGCCGAAGAAGCACCGGCUAACUACGUGCCCGCAGCCGCGGUAAUACGUAGGGUGCGGGCGUUAAUCGGAAUUACUGGGCGUAAAGCGUGCGCAGGCGGCUCCUUAAGUCAGAUGUGAAAUCCCCGGGCUUAACCUGGGAACUGCGUUUGAAACUGAGGGGCUUGAGUGUGGAAGAGGGGGGUGGAAUUCCAGGUGUAGCAGUGAAAUGCGUAGAGAUCUGGAGGAACACCGAUGGCGAAGGCAGCCCCCUGGGCUAACACUGACGCUCAUGCACGAAAGCGUGGGGAGCAA
rnacentral:rRNA from 1 species